UGCUAACACGCAGCCUUUCUGCAGCCCAUGGAUCAAGGAGUAAUUUCGACUGGCAGGUCUUAUGACUUAAGAAACACAUUUCAUGAUGCUACAGCUGCCAUAGCUAUUGAUUCCUCUGACGGAUUUGGGAAAAGUAAACUGAAAACCUCUGGAAAGGAUGCGCCAUCCAGAUGUCAUCAAGAACAUUUGUGAUUCGUGGGAAGAGGUCCAAAUAUGAGCAUGAAACGGAGUGUGUGUCACCGAGCAACGUGAGUUCGCUUCUUGGUGAGUCGAAAUCAAAGCCUUCACCAGGAGCAGUUGUCCCACAAAGUAAAUUUUAUUUGCAGCAAAUAAGGAGACCGCAGUUUCCCACGCCGUGGCUCCCCGAGUAAGGGAAAGCAGGUACUUUUGAUAUGAGGUGGGGAAUGAAUAUUCAACGUUGAAGUUUUGUCGUUAGGUGUAGGGGUGGGCAUAAGCUCGAGCAGGCUCCUUAGGUGUUCGUGCUUCCUGUGUGCCUAAAAGCGUGCUGUUGCUCCCUACGUGGCGGGGGUGUUACCGUGUCGAUGAAGCAAAGGUCACUCUAGGGUCCUGCCUGGUUCUUCUGCAUGUGGGUCAGUCUUGCAGUGCGGUCUGCAGCAGUUCAAGGUAGCUGGUGCCCCUGUCUUCUUCGUGGGACAUAAUUGAAACAAAAGGGCCAUUAGAGAAAGGAACAUCUGCGAUUCUCAGCAAGACGAGAGGAAUGGGUCAGAAUCCACAGCCUGUGACCUUCGGAAGAACUUGAUUCCAGCCCUCGUGGAUGACUCUGAGGGUUUCGAGACUCCAGUGGAGGCAGUAAAUGCAGAUGGAGGGGAAACAGCAAGAGGACUAGAAUGAGAAGUGGAGCCUGAAGACGAGACUGAAUUGCCGCCAUCCCGUGAUAAACUCUAACGGCUGAGGAGUUGCUGCUCAUGGAGGAGCAAGGGAAGCAGUUUUGUGAGGUGGAGUGCACUCCUGGUGAAGACGCUGUGAAGACGGCUGAAAUGACAAGAAAGGAUUUAGAACAUUCCAUGAACUUUGUUGGUAAAACGGCAGCAGAGUCGGAGAGGAUCGACUCCAGUUUUGAAAGAAGUUCUUCUGUGGGUAAAAUGCUGUCAAUCAGCUUCGCGUGGGGCAGAGCAAUCGUUCAUGAAAGGAAGAGUCAAUCGAUGUGGCAAACUUCACUGUUGUCUCGUUGCAAGGAGUUGCCACAGCCACCCAGCCUUCAGCAGCCACCACCCUCAUCAGCAGGCAUCAGCGUCGAGGCAGGAGCCCCCACCAGCAAAAAGAUUGCAACUCCCUGAAGGAUCAGAGGAUGGUUAACAUUUUUGAGCAAUAAAGUAUUUUUAAAUUAAGGUAUA